rnacentral:rRNA from 1 species
CCCUUAGAUGUUCUGGGCCGCACGCGCGCUACACUGUUUGAUUCAGCGAGUCUUAACCUUGACCGAAAGGUUUGGAUAAUCUUCUAAAGUCAAACGUGAUGGGGAUCGAUCAUUGCAAUUAUUGAUCGUGAACGAGGAAUUCCUAGUAAAUGCAAGUCAUCAGCUUGCGUUGAUUACGUCCCUGCCCUUUGUACACACCGCCCGUCGCUACUACCGAUUGAGUGGUCCGGUGAGGCUUUGGGAUCUGAGCGGAAAGAGCGUUUCGCUGUUUCUGCUCGGAAAACUCAGUCGAACCUUAUCAUUUAGAGGAAGGAGAAGUCGUAACA